UACGGAGGGUGCAAGCGUUAUUCGGAAUUACUGGGCGUAAAGCGCACGCAGGCGGCUGAGUCAGUCGAUUGUGAAAGCCCUGGGCUUAACCUGGGAAUUGCAGUCGAUACUACUCGGCUCGAGUAUGGGAGAGGGCAGUGGAAUUCCCGGUGUAGCGGUGAAAUGCGUAGAUAUCGGGAGGAAUACCGAUGGCGAAGGCAGGUCUCUGGACUGACACUGACGCUCAUGCACGAAAGCGUGGGGAGCAAACAGG
rnacentral:rRNA from 1 species